GACGAACGCUGGCGGCGUGCUUAACACAUGCAAGUCGAACGGAAAGGCCCUGCUUUUGUGGGGUGCUCGAGUGGCGAACGGGUGAGUAACACGUGAGUAACCUGCCCUUGACUUUGGGAUAACUUCAGGAAACUGGGGCUAAUACCGGAUAUGAGCUCCUGCUGCAUGGUGGGGGUUGGAAAGUUUCGGCGGUUGGGGAUGGACUCGCGGCUUAUCAGCUUGUUGGUGGGGUAGUGGCUUACCAAGGCUUUGACGGGUAGCCGGCCUGAGAGGGUGACCGGCCACAUUGGGACUGAGAUACGGCCCAGACUCCUACGGGAGGCAGCAGUGGGGAAUAUUGCACAAUGGGCGGAAGCCUGAUGAAGCAAAGCAGCGUGCGGGAUGACGGCCUUCGGGUUGUAAACAGCUUUAGCCUGUGACGAAGCGUGAGUGACGGUAAUGGGUAAAGAAGCACCGGCUAACUACGUG
rnacentral:rRNA from 1 species